rnacentral:rRNA from 1 species
UACGGAGGGUGCAAGCGUUGUUCGGAAUUAUUGGGCGUAAAGCGCGUGUAGGCGGUUCGUUAAGUCUGAUGUGAAAGCCCUGGGCGUUAACCUGGGAAGUGCAUUGGAAACUGGCGAACUUGAGUAUGGGAGAGGAAAGUGGAAUUCCGAGUGUAGGGGUGAAAUCCGUAGAUAUUCGGAGGAACACCAUGGCGAAGGCGGCUUUCUGGCCAAAUACUGACGCUGAGACGCGAAAAGCGUGGGGGAGC